rnacentral:lncRNA from 1 species
GGUCAUUUUCCAGGGGUAGGGGAUGGUUUUCCAACUUUAUUUAGCAUCCUUACUUCAUUUUAGAUUUAAUUUUGGCAUUAUAGGAAAGGUGAAAGACUGAUUUAUUGAGAAAGUGGUAAAGUACCUAUGUUUUAUGCAUUUAGUUGUACAUACUAAUAAAAAAACUGCCUUAAUCUGUAUUUGCCUAUUUUUCAGAAAGUGCCAUGGCAACAGUUUUCAAAAUAUUUUUUUUUUAAAUUCAGCAAUAUACCAUCUCCAGUGUUUUUAUAUUUGAUAGAGUAUACAUUGGUCUUUAUUCUGCAAUAAAGUUUUUUUCUGUCGAUGCCUGCGUUCUUUUAUAAAUCUUCCCUAGAAAAAGGAAUUUUUUCAUUUUUUUUCUGAAACCUAAAAAUACCGAUCUUUGGUAUUUUUGAUUUGCUUAUACCAGAAUAUUAUGGACUGCUGAUGUUAUUUUGUUAUUUAAAAAGUCAAGUACUAUGCUUGUUUUUACAAUAUCAAAAGUAAUUUUAUUGCUCAAUUUGUACAGAUAUGUGUACACAAGUCCAAAGUUACCCCAAUUUCACCUAAAAAAGCAUUGAAUUUGAAGCCAAAAUUUUAGGUCAAUGGUUACCAUAGCAACCAUACACAUGAAAAGAGAAAAAAAUAUUUUUUUCUCAAUAUAAUCAUAUUUGAAGCAUUUAUGCCAAAUUUGGUGAAAAUCUGACACCUAUGGUUUCCCAGUCC